rnacentral:rRNA from 1 species
UACAGAGGUCUCAAGCGUUGUUCGGAUUCAUUGGGCGUAAAGGGCGCGUAGGCUGCGGGGUAAGUCGGGUGUGAAAUCUCAGGGCUCAACCCUGAAACUGCACUCGAUACUGCUCUGCUUGAGGACUGGAGAGGAGACUGGAAUUCACGGUGUAGCAGUGAAAUGCGUAGAUAUCGGUAGGAACACCAGUGGCGAAGGCGGUUCCCUGGGGCACUCUUGACGCUGAUGCGCGAAAGCUGGGGGAGCGAACGGG